AAUGAACGCUGGCGGCNGGNGCUANCACAUGCAAGUCGAACGGAGUUAUAUUGUAGCUUGCUAUGGUAUUACUUAGUGGCAGACGGGUGAGUAAUGUAUAGGAAUCUACCUAGUAGUACGGAAUAAUUGUUGGAAACGGCAACUAAUACCGUAUACGCCCUACGGGGGAAAAAUUUAUUGCUAUUAGAUGAGCCUAUAUUAGAUUAGCUAGUUGGUGGAGUAAUAGCCUACCAAGGCAAUGAUCUAUAGCUGAUCUGAGAGGACGGUCCAGACUCCUACGGGAGGCAGCAGUGGGGAAUAUUGGACAAUGGGCGAAAGCCUGAUCCAGCCAUGCCGCAUGAGUGAAGAAGGCCUUUGGGUUGUAAAGCUCUUUUAGUGAGGAAGAUAAUGACGGUACUCACAGAAGAAGUCCUGGCUAACUCCGUGCCAGCAGCCGCGGUAAUACGGAGAGGGCUAGCGUUAUUCGGAAUUAUUGGGCGUAAAGGGCGCGUAGACGGAUUAGUACGUUAAAAGUGAAAUCCCAAGGCUCAACCUUGGAAUUGCUUUUAAAACUGCUAAUCUAGAGAUUGAAAGGGGAUAGAGGAAUUCCUAGUGUAGAGGUGAAAUUCGUAAAUAUUAGGAGGAACACCAGUGGCAAAGGCGUCUAUCUGGUUCAAAUCUGACGCUGAGGCGCGAAGGCGUGGGGAGCAAACAGGAUUAGAUACCCUGGUAGUCCACGCUGUAAACGAUGAAUGUUAAAUAUGGGAAGUUUUACUUUCUGUAUUACAGCUAACGCGUUAAACAUUCCGCCUGGGGACUACGGUCGCAAGAUUAAAACUCAAAGGAAUUGACGGGGACCCGCACAAGCGGUGGAGCAUGUGGUUUAAUUCGAUGCAACGCGAAAAACCUUACAACUCCUUGACAUGGAAAUUAUACCUAUUCGAAGGGAUAGGGUCGGUUCGGCCGGGUUUCACACAGGUGUUGCAUGGCUGUCGUCAGCUCGUGUCGUGAGAUAUUGGGKUWAGUCCCGCAACGAGCGCACCCUCAUCCUUAGUAACCAUCAGGUAAUGCUGGGGACUUUUAAGGAAACUGCCAGUGAUAACUGGAGGAGGUGGGAUGGAUGUCAAGUCAUCAUGGCCUUAUGGAGUGGCUAC
rnacentral:rRNA from 1 species